UACAGAGGUCUCAAGCGUUGUUCGGAUUCAUUGGGCGUAAAGGGUGCGUAGGCGGCGCGGUAAGUCGGGUGUGAAAUCUUGGAGCUUAACUCCGAAACUGCAUUCGAUACUGCCGUGCUUGAGGACUGGAGAGGAGACUGGAAUUUACGGUGUAGCGGUGAAAUGCGUAGAUAUCGUAAGGAAGACCAGUGGCGAAGGCGGGUCUCUGGACAGUUCCUGACGCUGAGGCACGAAGGUCCAGGGGAGCAAACGG
rnacentral:rRNA from 1 species